UACGGAGGGUGCAAGCAUUAAUCGGAUUUAUUGGGCGUAAAGGGCGCGUAGGCGGCAAUAUAAGUCAGAUGUGAAAUCCCGGGGCUCAACCUCGGAACAGCAUUUGAAACUGUAUAGCUAGAGGGUGGUCGGAGAAAACGGAAUUCCACAAGUAGCGGUGAAAUGCGUAGAUAUGUGGAAGAACACCGGUGGCGAAGGCGGUUUUCUAGAUUAUUCCUGACGCUAAAGCGCGAAAGCAAGGGGAUCAAACAGG
rnacentral:rRNA from 1 species